rnacentral:rRNA from 1 species
AUUGAACGCUGGCGGAAUGCUUUACACAUGCAAGUCGAACGGCAGCACGGGGGCAACCCUGGUGGCGAGUGGCGAACGGGUGAGUAAUACAUCGGAACGUGCCCAGUCGUGGGGGAUAACGUAGCGAAAGUUACGCUAAUACCGCAUACGAUCUACGGAUGAAAGCGGGGGACCGUAAGGCCUUGCGCGACUGGAGCGGCCGGUGUCAGAUUAGGUAGUUGGUGAGGUAAAGGCCCACCAAGCCGACGAUCUGUAGCUGGUCUGAGAGGACGACCAGCCACACUGGGACUGAGACACGGCCCAGACUCCUACGGGAGGCAGCAGUGGGGAAUUUUGGACAAUGGGCGCAAGCCUGAUCCAGCCAUUCCGCGUGCAGGACGAAGGCCUUCGGGUUGUAAACUGCUUUUGUACGGAACGAAAAGGCUCUGGUUAAUACCUGGGGCUCAUGACGGUACCGUAAGAAUAAGCACCGGCUAACUACGUGCCAGCCGCCGCCGUAA